CUGGUUGAUCCUGCCAGAGGCCAUUGCUAUCGGAGUCCGAUUUAGCCAUGCUAGUCGCACGAGUUUAGACUCGUGGCAUAUAGCUCAGUAACACGUGGCCAAACUACCCUACAGACCGCAAUAACCUCGGGAAACUGAGGCCAAUAGCGGAUAUAACUCUCAGACUGGAGUGUCGAGAGUUAGAAACGUUCCGGCGCUGUAGGAUGUGGCUGCGGCCGAUUAGGUAGAUGGUGGGGUAACGGCCCACCAUGCCGAUAAUCGGUACAGGUUGUGAGAGCAAGAGCCUGGAGACGGUAUCUGAGACAAGAUACCGGGCCCUACGGGGCGCAGCAGGCGCGAAACCUUUACACUGCACGACAGUGCGAUAGGGGGACUCCGAGUGUGAGGGCAUAUAGCCCUCGCUUUUCUGCACCGUAAGGUGGUGCAAGAAUAAGGACUGGGCAAGACCGGUGCCAGCCGCCGCGGUAAUACCGGCAGUCCAAGUGAUGGCCGAUAUUAUUGGGCCUAAAGCGUCCGUAGCUUGCUGUGUAAGUCCAUUGGGAAAUCGACCAGCUCAACUGGUCGACGUCCGGUGGAAACUACACAGCUUGGGGCCGAGAGACUCAACGGGUACGUCCGGGGUAGGAGUGAAAUCCUAUAAUCCUGGACGGACCACCAAUGGGGAAACCACGUUGAGAGACCGGACCCGACAGUGAGGGACGAAAGCCAGGGUCUCGAACCGGAUUAGAUACCCGGGUAGUCCUGGCCGUAAACAAUGCUCGCUAGGUAUGUCACGCGCCAUGAGCACGUGAUGUGCCGUAGUGAAGACGAUAAGCGGGCCGCCUGGGAAGUACGUCCGCAAGGAUGAAACUUAAAGGAAUUGGCGGGGGAGCACCACAACCGGAGGAGCCUGCGGUUUAAUUGGACUCAACGCCGGACAUCUCACCGGUCCCGACAGUAGUAAUGACAGUCAGGUUGACGACUUUACUCGACGCUACUGAGAGGAGGUGCAUGGCCGC
rnacentral:rRNA from 1 species